UACGAAGGGGGCUAGCGUUGCUCGGAUUGACUGGGCGUAAAGGGCGCGUAGGCGGAUAGUACAGUCAGGCGUGAAAUUCCUGGGCUCAACCUGGGGGCUGCGUUUGAUACGUAUUGUCUGGAGUUCGGAAGGGGGUCGUGGAAUUCCCAGUGUAGAGGUGAAAUUCGUAGAUAUUCGCAAGAACACCAGUGGCGAAGGCGGCUCACUGGCCCGAUACUGACGCUGAGGCACGAAAGCGCGGGGAGCAAACAGG
rnacentral:rRNA from 1 species